rnacentral:rRNA from 2 species
UGGGGAAUAUUGGGCAAUGGGCGAAAGCCUGACCCAGCGACGCCGCGUGAAGGAAGACGGUCUUCGGAUUGUAAACUUCUUUUAUAUGGGACGAAGAAAGUGACGGUACCAUAUGAAUAAGCCACGGCUAACUACGUGCCAGCAGCCGCGGUAAUACGUAGGUGGCAAGCGUUAUCCGGAUUUACUGGGUGUAAAGGGUGUGUAGGCGGGAUGGUAAGUCAGAUGUGAAAAUUACGGGCUCAACUCGUAACCUGCAUUUGAAACUGCCGUUCUUGAGGUUCGGAGAGGUAGACGGAAUUCCUGGUGUAGCGGUGAAAUGCGUAGAUAUCAGGAGGAACACCGGUGGCGAAGGCGGUCUACUGGACGAAUACUGACGCUGAGACACGAAAGCGUGGGGAGCAAACAGG